rnacentral:lncRNA from 1 species
AACUAACUCCAUUGGGCCAACCUCAAAAGAGCUACAGAUCACAAGAUACAAGCAAGACAAGACAGCAACAAAAUAAUAACAGAUUCCAGACUUAGAAAUAUUUCAGCUCCUCUGAAACAGCACUAUUCAAGCAACUUGAGGGCAGUCAAACAACACCUAAACAUGCAUUUAUAUUGCAACUAAAAAUGCCAGGGACUAAACAAAACAUCUAAGAUCAACUCUCUAGUUGACAACUCCGUCAAACGACGCACGGAUUAAAUCCUACGAAUUAAUCAAAAGGGCAA